AACGAACGCUGGCGGCAGGCUUAACACAUGCAAGUCGAACGCCCCGCAAGGGGAGUGGCAGACGGGUGAGUAACGCGUGGGAACGUGCCCUUCGCUUCAGGAUAGCCCCGGGAAACUGGGAGUAAUACUGGAUACGCCGUAUUGGGAAAGAUUUAUCGGCGAAGGAUCGGCCCGCGUUAGAUUAGGUAGUUGGCGGUGUAAUGGACCACCAAGCCUACGAUCUAUAGCUGGUCUGAGAGGAUGAUCAGCCACACUGGGACUGAGACACGGCCCAGACUCCCACGGGAGGCAGCAGUGGGGAAUCUUGGACAAUGGGCGCAAGCCUGAUCCAGCCAUGCCGCGUGAGUGAAGAAGGCCUUAGGGUUGUAAAACUCUUUCGCCGGAGAAGAUAAUGACGGUAUCCGGAGAAGAAGCCCCGGCUAACUUCGUGCCAGCCGCCGCAGUAA
rnacentral:rRNA from 1 species